AUUGAACGCUGGCGGCAUGCCUUACACAUGCAAGUCGAACGGUAACAGGUCUUCGGAUGCUGACGAGUGGCGAACGGGUGAGUAAUACAUCGGAACGUGCCCGAUCGUGGGGGAUAACGCAGCGAAAGCUGUGCUAAUACCGCAUACGAUCUACGGAUGAAAGCGGGGGAUCGCAAGACCUCGCGCGGACGGAGCGGCCGAUGGCAGAUUAGGUAGUUGGUGGGGUAAAGGCCCACCAAGCCGACGAUCUGUAGCUGGUCUGAGAGGACGACCAGCCACACUGGGACUGAGACACGGCCCAGACUCCUACGGGAGGCAGCAGUGGGGAAUUUUGGACAAUGGGCGCAAGCCUGAUCCAGCCAUGCCGCGUGCAGGAUGAAGGCCUUCGGGUUGUAAACUGCUUUUGUACGGAACGAAAAGACUCUUUCUAAUAAAGAGGGUCCAUGACGGUACCGUAAGAAUAAGCACCGGCUAACUACGUGCCAGCCGCCGCGGUAAAAC
rnacentral:rRNA from 1 species